rnacentral:rRNA from 1 species
UUGACCUCGAAUCAGGCGGGACUACCCGCUGAACUUAAGCAUAUCAAUAAG